rnacentral:lncRNA from 1 species
GUGGUGGUGGUGGUGGUGGUGGUGGUGGUGGAUUAAAUCGGAAGCAUAACUGCUAGGAACAAGUAGGAGGAUGAGGAGGACGGUCAAUAUUCCGGUGGUAGUGACGGUGGCGGAGGUGAUGGUAGUAAAAUUAGACAAUGCCAUGGUUAAAUAGCUAGUUUAGGUUGCCGAUGUAAGAUUAAUUUGAUGAAAUUUGUGUAAGCAUUAUAUAGCCGGGGGCCCGGGAUAGAAGAAGGGUGUGUGCCACGUGAGAGUUGAUCUGUGUAGAUAAAAAGACUACGUGGAGAAAGAAUAGGAGGAGCUAUUGGUCUUAAAUCAUCACAUUUUGUCUUCGUUUGCUCACACUGUUACUGGCGGCUCCAUGCGUAUACGUAAUUUAUUACUCCACUACAUUACUACGCAUAAAAAUU